ACAAUGGAGAGUUUGAUCCUGGCUCAGGAUGAACGCUAGCUACAGGCUUAACACAUGCAAGUCGCGGGGCAGCAUGUUGGUUGCUUGCAACCGAUGAUGGCGACCGGCGCACGGGUGAGUAACGCGUAUCCAACCUACCUAUUACCACGGGAUAACCCGGCGAAAGUCGGACUAAUACCGUAUGUGGUCUUCGAUUGGCAUCAGCAGUAGACUAAAGGUUUUGCGGUAAUAGAUGGGGAUGCGUCCGAUUAGUUAGUUGGCGGGGUAACGGCCCACCAAGACAUCGAUCGGUAGGGGUUCUGAGAGGAAGGUCCCCCACACUGGAACUGAGACACGGUCCAGACUCCUACGGGAGGCAGCAGUGAGGAAUAUUGGUCAAUGGGCGUAAGCCUGAACCAGCCAAGUAGCGUGCAGGAUGACGGCCCUAUGGGUUGUAAACUGCUUUUAUGCAAGAAUAAAUUAGCCUACGUGUGGGUUAUUGCAGGUAUUGCAUGAAUAAGGACCGGCUAAUUCCGUGCCAGCAGCCGCGGUAAUACGGAAGGUCCGGGCGUUAUCCGGAUUUAUUGGGUUUAAAGGGAGCGUAGGCGGCCUUUUAAGCGUGUUGUGAAAUUCAGUUGCUCAACAUCUGACUUGCAGCGCGAACUGGGGGGCUUGAGUAUGCUGAAGGUAGGCGGAAUUCGUGGUGUAGCGGUGAAAUGCUUAGAUAUCACGAAGAACUCCGAUUGCGAAGGCAGCUUACUGCAGCUUAACUGACGCUGAUGCUCGAAAGCGUGGGUAUCGAACAGGAUUAGAUACCCUGGUAGUCCACGCGGUAAACGAUGGAUGCUCGUUGUUGGUAUAUAUAUAUCAGUGACCAAGUGAAAACGUUAAGCAUCCCACCUGGGGAGUACGCCGGCAACGGUGAAACUCAAAGGAAUUGACGGGGGCCCGCACAAGCGGAGGAACAUGUGGUUUAAUUCGAUGAUACGCGAGGAACCUUACCCGGGCUUGAACUGCAGCGGAACGAUUCAGAGAUGAUGAGGUCCUUCGGGACUGCUGCGGAGGUGCUGCAUGGUUGUCGUCAGCUCGUGCCGUGAGGUGUCGGCUUAAGUGCCAUAACGAGCGCAACCCCUUUUUAUAGUUGCCAUCGGGUAAUGCCGGGCACUCUGUAGAUACUGCCGCCGCAAGGUGUGAGGAAGGCGGGGAUGACGUCAAAUCAGCACGGCCCUUACGUCCGGGGCUACACACGUGUUACAAUGGCGCGUACAGCGAGUUGGUGUUAUGUGAGUAGCAUCUAAUCCUGAAAGCGCGCCUCAGUUCGGACUGGGGUCUGCAACCCGACCCCACGAAGCUGGAUUCGCUAGUAAUCGCGCAUCAGCCAUGGCGCGGUGAAUACGUUCCCGGGCCUUGUACACACCGCCCGUCAAGCCAUGAAAGCCGGGGGCGCCUGAAGUCCGUGACCGCAAGGGUCGGCCUAGGGUGAAACCGGUGAUUGGGGCUAAGUCGUAACAAGGUAGCCGUACCGGAAGGUGCGGCUGGAACACCUCCUUU
rnacentral:rRNA from 1 species